rnacentral:rRNA from 1 species
CUCCGGUUGAUCCUGCCGGACCCGACUGCUAUCGGAUUGAGAUUUAGCCAUGCGAGUCGAACGUUCCCCUGUUGCGGGGAGCGUGGCGUACGGCUCAGUAACACGUAGUCAACCUGCCCUGGAGACAAGGACAACCCCGGGAAACUGGGAUUAAUCCUUGAUAGGUCAUCUCAUCUGGAAGGAGAGAUGGCUUAAAGGGGUACGCGGGCUUCUUCCGCGAAUUCGCUCCAGGAUGGGACUGCGUCCGAUCAGGCUGUUGGCGGGGUAAUGGCCCACCAAACCUGUAACCGGUACGGGCCUUGAGAGAGGUGGCCCGGAGAUGGACACUGAGAGAAGGGUCCAGGUCCUACGGGGCGCAGCAGGCGCGAAACCUUCGCAAUGCGCGAAAGCGUGACGAGGUUAAUCCGAGUGACUCCCGCUGAGGGGGUCUUUUGUCAGCUGUAAAUAGGCAGGCGAAUAAGGGGAGGGCAAGCCUGGUGUCAGCCGCCGCGGUAAUACCAGCUCCUCGAGUGGUCGGGGCGAUUAUUGGGCCUAAAGCAUCCGUAGCCGGUUCCGUAGGUCCUCUGUUAAAUCCAACCGCUCAACGGUUGACCUGCAGAGGAUACCGCGGGACUAGGAGGCGGGAGAGGCGGACGGUACUCCGCGUGUAGGGGUAAAAUCCUUUGAUCCGCGGAAGACCACCAGUGGCGAAGGCGGUCCGCCAGAACGCGCUCGACGGUGAGGGAUGAAAGCUGGGGGAGCGAACCGGAUUAGAUACCCGGGUAGUCCCAGCCGUAAACGAUGCUAGCUAGAUGAUUCAUUCGCAAGUCGCGAAUGAAGUGUCGCAGGGAAGCCGUUAAGCUAGCCGCCUGGGGAGUACGGUCGCAAGACUGAAACUUAAAAGAAUUAGCGGGGGAGCA